rnacentral:rRNA from 1 species
AUUGAACGCUGGCGGCAUGCCUAACACAUGCAAGUCGAACGGCAGCACGGAGCUUGCUCUGGUGGCGAGUGGCGAACGGGUGAGUAAUAUAUCGGAACGUACCCUGGAGUGGGGGAUAACGUAGCGAAAGUUACGCUAAUACCGCAUACGAUCUAAGGAUGAAAGUGGGGGAUCGCAAGACCUCAUGCUCGUGGAGCGGCCGAUAUCUGAUUAGCUAGUUGGUAGGGUAAAAGCCUACCAAGGCAUCGAUCAGUAGCUGGUCUGAGAGGACGACCAGCCACACUGGAACUGAGACACGGUCCAGACUCCUACGGGAGGCAGCAGUGGGGAAUUUUGGACAAUGGGCGAAAGCCUGAUCCAGCAAUGCCGCGUGAGUGAAGAAGGCCUUCGGGUUGUAAAGCUCUUUUGUCAGGGAAGAAACGGUGAAGGCUAAUAUCCUUUGCUAAUGACGGUACCUGAAGAAUAAGCACCGGCUAACUACGUGCCAGCAGCCGCGGUAAUACGUAGGGUGCAAGCGUUAAUCGGAAUUACUGGGCGUAAAGCGUGCGCAGGCGGUUUUGUAAGUCUGAUGUGAAAUCCCCGGGCUCUACCUGGGAAUUGCAUUGGAGACUGCAAGGCUAGAAUCUGGCAUAAGGGGGUAGAAUUCCCCGUGUAGCAUUGAAAUGCGUAGAUAUUGUGGAGGAACCCCGAGGCGAAGGGCAGCCCCCGGGGUCAAGAUAGACGCUCAUGCACGAAAGCGUGGGGAGCAAACAGGACUAGAUACCUUGGUAGUCCACGCCCUAAACGAUGUCUACUAGUUGUCGGGUCUUAAUUGACUUGGUAACGCAGCUAACGCGUGAAGUAGACCGCCUGGGGAGUACGGUCGCAAGAUUAAAACUCAAAGGAAUUGACGGGGACCCGCACAAGCGGUGGAUGAUGUGGAUUAAUUCGAUGCAACGCGAAAAACCUUACCUACCCUUGACAUGGCUGGAAUCCUCGAGAGAUUGGGGAGUGCUCGAAAGAGAACCAGUACACAGGUGCUGCAUGGCUGUCGUCAGCUCGUGUCGUGAGAUGUUGGGUUAAGUCCCGCAACGAGCGCAACCCUUGUCAUUAGUUGCUACGAAAGGGCACUCUAAUGAGACUGCCGGUGACAAACCGGAGGAAGGUGGGGAUGACGUCAAGUCCUCAUGGCCCUUAUGGGUAGGGCUUCACACGUCAUACAAUGGUACAUACAGAGCGCCGCCAACCCGCGAGGGGGAGCUAAUCGCAGAAAGUGUAUCGUAGUCCGGAUUGUAGUCUGCAACUCGACUGCAUGAAGUUGGAAUCGCUAGUAAUCGCGGAUCAGCAUGUCGCGGUGAAUACGUUCCCGGGUCU